CUGACGAGUCCCAAAUAGGACGAAACGCGUGUC
rfam:Schistosoma rodhaini strain Burundi genome assembly, scaffold: SROB_scaffold0000610